AUUACAUUAGUUUAAAAAUAAAAUUUCAUUUUGUGAUGAUGAAGAUUCAUAUAGAAUGUAAUA
rnacentral:tRNA from 1 species